rnacentral:snRNA from 1 species
AACGCAAUGUGAUUUCUGCCCA